rnacentral:lncRNA from 1 species
AGUUCUUCUAAAGUGGUCUGCUUUCCACACCUCGACAAAAUAUAUCGGGGUCAGGACGUGGUUCUGUCAUGUCGAGUAGAACCUCCAUUUGACUUGACGAAUGAGACCUUGGAAUGGAAACAUGGCAAAGAGAAUGUUCACCGGUAUCCAAGUUUGUGGGACUACCUAGACCAUCAAUACUCGAGGUUCUUUAACAGGACCUUCCUCAACCACCUGAACCUGAAGGAUGGAAUCGCUUCCCUCACACUGACCAACUUCACCAACCAGGAUGAAGGAAACUACUCCUUCUGUCUUCCUGAGCUGCUCAGUUGUUCUGACAUCACCCUGACGGAGAGAUCUGAUCUGAGCUUUGGUGACUACUCUGCCAUAGUUGGAGGUGUUUUUGGUUUUUUUGGUGUUUUUGGUGCUGUUGUUGGGGGGAUCCUGGCGUUUUUACGUUCUAGAAACAGAAACAGAGACAGAACUGAUCUCCAACCAGAGUCUGCUUCCAUCCCUCUGAGAUGGUGUAAAGACCCCCGCCACAGUAUCUGCGGAAGCCAGAACCCCCCAGAGCCCGAACUGCAGCAGAUGGAGAGCAACUGCCCCCCGGGUGAUUGCUUCCGCUACCCAGGCCAGGGCCAGCAGGACCGCCCACGGGGCUCCCAGAGCCCCCAGAGCCAGAGAGCAGGGGGGCAUGGGGGGGGGCAGAGGAGGGAGGGCCCAACGCAGGGCCCCGCCCAUGAAGGGCGCCUCAUCACCCUCCGGGAGCUCUGGGAAUCCCCUGGCUUCAACCUUUUUUUCACAAGCCAGGACCCCCAAGGGAAACCCACCCGCGCUCCAGGCACCCACCCAUCCGGCCUACGGUAG